GGCCUUGUAGUACAAUGGAUAGUACUAGAGUUUCCGAAGCUCUCGAUCCAGGUUCGAUUCCCGGCAAGGCCA
rnacentral:tRNA from 2 species